rnacentral:rRNA from 1 species
AGUGAACGCUGGUGGCGUGCUUAACACAUGCAAGUCGAACGAGAACGGAUUAUAGCUUGCUAUAAUUGUCAGCUAAGUGGCGCACGGGUGAGUAAUGUAUAGGUAAUAUGCCUCUUACUAAGGGAUAACAAAUGGAAACGUUUGCUAAUACCUUAUACUCCUUAUUAACAGAAGUUAAUAAGGGAAAGAUUUAUUGGUAAGAGAUUAGCCUGUAUUGUAUCAGUUAGUUGGUGGGGUAAUGGCUUACCAAGACUAUGACACAUAACUGGUUUGAGAGGAUGAUCAGUCACACUGGAACUGAGACACGGUCCAGACUCCUACGGGAGGCAGCAGUGGGGAAUAUUGCACAAUGGACGAAAGUCUGAUGCAGCAACGCCGCGUGGAGGAUGACACAUUUCGGUGCGUAAACUCCUUUUAUAUGAGAAGAUAAUGACGGUAUUAUAUGAAUAAGCACCGGCUAACUCCGUGCCAGCCGCCGCCGCAG